UGGGGAAUCUUGGACAAUGGGCGCAAGCCUGAUCCAGCAAUGCCGCGUGAGUGACGAAGGCCUUAGGGUUGUAAAACUCUUUCGUCGGGGACGAUAAUGACGGUACCCGAAGAAGAAGCUCCGGCUAACUUCGUGCCAGCAGCCGCGGUAAUACGAAGGGAGCUAGCGUUGUUCGGAAUCACUGGGCGUAAAGCGCACGUAGGCGGAUAGUUAAGUCAGGGGUGAAAUCCUGGGGCUCAACCCCAGAACUGCCUUUGAUACUGGCUGUCUCGAGGUCGAGAGAGGUUGGUGGAAUUCCUAGUGUAGAGGUGAAAUUCGUAGAUAUUAGGAAGAACACCAGUGGCGAAGGCGGCCAACUGGCUCGAUACUGACGCUGAGGUGCGAAAGCGUGGGGAGCAAACAGGAUUAGAUACCCAGGUAGUCCCUGAGCGGGCUGGCAAGGCG
rnacentral:rRNA from 1 species